ACGAAGCAGUGAUGUGGAGCGAAACUCAAAAAAAUAAGUCUCAGUUCGGAUUGAAGGCUGAAAUUCGCCUUCAUGAAGCCGGAAUUGCUAGUAAUGGCAGGUCAGCAUACUGCCGUGAAUACGUUCCCGGGCCUUGUACACACCGCCCGUCACACCAUGAGAGUUGGGAAUACCCGAAGCCUGUGAGCUAACUUUUAGAGGCAGCAGUCGAAGGUAGAAUCAAUGAUUGGGGUGAAGUCGUAACAAGGUAGC
rnacentral:rRNA from 1 species